rnacentral:tRNA from 7 species
GCUUCAGUGGCGGAAUUGGCAGACGCGCAACGUUCAGGUCGUUGUAUGGUUAUCCAUGUACAGGUUCGAAUCCUGCCUGAAGCAUCA